AGGGAACGUGAGCUGGGUUUAGACCGUCGUGAGACAGGUUAGUUUUAUCCUACUGAUGAAUUGGUCAUCGCAACAGUAAUUCUGGUCAGUACGAGAGGAACACCACAUUCACAUAAUUGGUAAAGGGGUUGACGGAAACGUCAAUGCCCCGAAGCUACCAUGUGUCGGUUAAUGGCUGAACGCCUCUAAGUCAGAAACCGUGCUGGAGAAGCGAUGAUACUUGUGGCUUGGUUGUACGAAUGAGUAUCGAUAUUUUUAGACCGGGAGGCGUGGACGUUAAAUGUUCAUGUUUGCAGUUUUAAUUGAAACCUCCAAGCGAUUAAAUCCUUUGUAGACGACUUAACUAGGACGUGGUAUUGUAAGCAUGAGAGUAGUCUUUGCACUCCGAUCUGCUGAGAUUUGGCCUCUGUUCC
rnacentral:rRNA from 1 species